rnacentral:rRNA from 1 species
GAAUCUGCCUUUUGGUCGGGGACAACCACUGGAAACGGUGGCUAAUACCGGAUAAGCCUGCGGGUAAAAGAUUAAUUGCCAAGAGAGGAGCUCGCGUCUGAUUAGCUAGUUGGUGAGGUAAAGGCUCACCAAGGCGGCGAUCAGUAGCUGGUCUGAGAGGAUGAUCAGCCACACUGGGACUGAGACACGGCCCAGACUCCUACGGGAGGCAGCAGUGGGGAAUUUUCCGCAAUGGGCGAAAGCCUGACGGAGCAAGACCGCGUGAGGGAGGAAGGCUCUUGGGUUGUAAACCUCUUUUGUCAGGGAAGAACACAAUGACGGUACCUGAAGAAUCAGCAUCGGCUAACUCCGUGCCAGCAGCCGCGGUAAUACGGAGGAUGCAAGCGUUAUCCGGAAUUAUUGGGCGUAAAGCGUCCGCAGGUGGCACUUCAAGUCUGCUGUCAAAGACCGGGGCUUAACCCUGGAAAGGCAGUGGAAACUGAAGCGCUAGAGUGUGGCAGGGGUAGAGGGAAUUCCCGGUGUAGCGGUGAAAUGCGUAGAGAUCGGGAAGAACAUCGGUGGCGAAAGCGCUCUACUGGGCCACAACUGACACUCAGGGACGAAAGCUAGGGGAGCG